GAUGAACGCUGGCGGCGUGCGUAAUACAUGCAAGUCGAGCGAACAGAUAAGGAGCUUGCUCCUUUGACGUUAGCGGCGGACGGGUGAGUAACACGUGGAUAACCUACCUAUAAGACUGGGAUAACUUCGGGAGACCGGAGCUAAUACCGGAUAAGAUUUUGAACCGCAUGGUUCAAUAGUGAAAGACGGCCUUGCUGUCACUUAUAGAUGGAUCCGCGCCGUAUUAGCUAGUUGGUAAGGUAACGGCUUACCAAGGCAACGAUACGUAGCCGACCUGAGAGGGUGAUCGGCCACACUGGAACUGAGACACGGUCCAGACUCCUACGGGAGGCAGCAGUAGGGAAUCUUCCGCAAUGGGCGAAAGCCUGACGGAGCAACGCCGCGUGAGUGAUGAAGGUCUUCGGAUCGUAAAACUCUGUUAUCAGGGAAGAACAAACGUGUAAGUAACUGUGCACGUCUUGACGGUACCUGAUCAGAAAGCCACGGCUAACUACGUGCUAGCAGCCGCGGUAAUACGUAGGUGGCAAGCGUUAUCCGGAAUUAUUGGGCGUAAAGCGCGCGUAGGCGGUUUUUUAAGUCUGAUGUGAAAGCCCACGGCUCAACCGUGGAGGGUCAUUGGAAACUGGAAAACUUGAGUGCAGAAGAGGAAAGUGGAAUUCCAUGUGUAGCGGUGAAAUGCGCAGAGAUAUGGAGGAACACCAGUGGCGAAGGCGACUUUCUGGUCUGUAACUGACGCUGAUGUGCGAAAGCGUGGGGAUCAAACAGG
rnacentral:rRNA from 1 species